UCAGCCGCCGCGGUAAUACGUAUGGGGCAAGCGUUAUCCGGAUUCAUUGGGCGUAAAGAGCGCGUAGGCGGAUUGUUAAGCGAGAUGUGAAAACUGGGGGCUCAACCCGCAGCCUGCAUCUCGAACUGGCAGUCUUGAGUCUGGUAGAGGAAAGUGGAAUUCCCAGUGUAGCGGUGAAAUGCGCAGAUAUUGGGAGGAACACCAGUGGCGAAGGCGGCUUUCUGGGCCACGACUGACGCUGAGGCGCGAAAGCUAGGGGAGCAAACAGGAUUAGAUACCCUGGUAGUCCUAGCCGUAAACGAUGGGCACUAGGUGUGGGGGGUCAUCAACUCCCUCCGUGCCGCAGCUAACGCACUAAGUGCCCCGCCUGGGGAGUACGGCCGCAAGGCUAAAACUUAAAGGAAUUGGCGGGGGAC
rnacentral:rRNA from 1 species